AUGCUGGAAGCUCAGCCUGUUCAGGCACCUGUUAUAGUCCCGGCUUGGUCCAGCCUGUCCUCCUCUCCAUCAGGUUCUUCCUGCUCUUGCUGAGCCCCGGCUCUCAGCAGGCUCUGUCCUCCCCAAAUCUCCUUCCAGCUUUCGCAGGCAGUCGGGCAGGACCCAGGGGAGACUCUGAUGUGGGGCUGUGCUGGCCACGAUGCAGCUCCCUGUGGGGAAGUGAUCGGAGCGACUCCUGAUACCCGAAGUUACCUAUUCGGAGUCAGCGGUAUGAAAAGAGCAGCACCAUAUCUUUUCAUAAAAGCGCUGCCUCUGACAUGGAGCUCUGAACCUCACAGGGAGUCGUAGCAGAGCUCUUCAUGGCUGCAUUCCCCUGAAGAGAAGGGGUAUUUUUAUAGUGACCUCUGUCAUCUACUACUAGUGCUCCCUGGAGAAUAGAUGGUCACAAAAGUGCACCGUGUUUCUAGGCACAUAUGGCAUCAGACACUCGAGCCCAUGCGCUGCCCAUGCAAGUAUUCCCAUUACUUCAAAUGAGCGGCCUAAAAUAAGUAUGGUACAGGCAGCAUUGACAAACCUCAUCUGCUGACCACACGUUACCACCCUCCGCUCAGCGACAGCAAGCCAGCCACCCCAGAAGCAGCUACCAUCUCCCCAGCUUUGUCUGCAGCAGCAUCACAGAUCAAAGGCCAGGAGCGGUUCCCAGGAAGCAGAGCGGCACAGUGAAACUGAGAUCAUUAUGUUGACUGAAUUUCUUACCGCCGGACUUGCCCCACCAUGAAAUAGCACUGCUCAGCCAAUUGGGAUUCAUGGUCACAGCCCUUCAUGGGAUCAUCAGGGUUUAUAGUCCAUAACAAAUACAAAUACAGAAAGGAACAAUAACAGUAUGAUACAUCUGACCUGUUAUUCCGCCUUGCGAGACUUUGUGGUGAGUACCAGAGUAGUGACUGGCUGCGUGUUUUCUGUCGUGCAGACGAAUGGGACAGUCACGUAGGAAAGAGAAACCGUGCCUCAAACACAGCGCUGUUGGCGUGGGCUUCAGUGACUAAAAGCCGUCUUUAGGCUUACAGCACGUUGUUCAUGAUUUAUGUAAAACACUGGCGCGUGGGGGAGCUUAGGAGGUUUGCUGGGAGCAUCUGAACACUGCAGAAGUGUUUGGUUAAAGAAAUGACUGAAGUCGGUUCUGCAGAGCGCUUCAGAAGAUGCUUGAAAUCCCAGCAGGUCACCCCUUUCAAAGCAGCAAAUUCGACCAUCUACAUACCACCAAAAUGCAAGAGCAAACUCAAGCAUAAAGACAAACAGUCAGCACCACCUCUGUUUGCAAGUCAGCUGCUCUGUGCUGCACAAUGCGACUGAUCCUUACGUACUUUAUGUCAAUAUAACAUGUCUUAUGAAACACAGAGAUUCCCUGUCAUCGAGAGAUCUAGUCUACCUACAGCACCGUCACGGUUGUCUGCCCAGAUUAAUCGCAGGGGCUGGCGAUGGAUGUAGGACGAUAGAUCAAUUCUUUCUGUACCCCAAAGGUAAAAUAAGAAAUGGUGACCUGAAACGCAGACGAAGAGGAAACGAUGAGGGCUCGAUGUCUCUAAGCCCUGUGCUAACCUGUGUGAACCAGCAGAUUGUGUCACCUCUUUGGGACCUGCUCGUGUGUAUUUUAGAUCAUACUUUGUGAUAGGUGGAGGUGGAUGUUUAUGUAGGCAAGAAGAAAACUAGUACAAAUCUGUGCCAGUUGACAAUCCAAAAGUUUACUCAGACUUGCUUUGUUUCGUCUCUGUCUUCUCUGCUGAGCCUGCAGUUGUUCAGGGAUGCUCAUGUUUUCUAGGUAUCAGACAAUUCCGGAAUCAAGGACCUCAAGUCACGUUUCAUCUUUUAGUUUCCCUGAAAACAUUUAUUUACAUGUUGAAGUUACUGGAUGUAUGUUCUGACAAAGUAACCAUAUAUAAACUUCUCAUGGAGAUCAGCUGGGACUUCGUGGCAGAAAUCUCAUUUAAAACAACUGGAAAUGACUUCACCUUGGCCCAAGUCACAGCGUAACAGCCACCUCCUCCUCCUCCAACCCUGCUAAACCAUCUGCCUCCUGCCUUCCUUCACAAGACCCUCUUACAUUUCUUUAGGAUCCAGGAGCUUGUACUGAUUUAGGACGCUCACUGAAUCUCUUCAGCAGCACAGGCUAUGAUAAAUGCAUCAAACAUCACCUCUACUCUUUGCACUGGCUUGCUGUGAAAUUUAAAACCAAACUCCGGCUUGCAGUCCUUAUCUUGGAGACGCUUUGCGGCCCGGUCCCGGUGCAGAUGAAGGCUGCUCAAAGCUUGGCGGUGGAGACCCUGCCCGCGGCACGUUGCCUGUGUGGUGCUAGGCACGGCUCUGCCGGCAGCACGACACGGUUUGUGGCAGGGGUGAAGCUUCCUUCUGCAGAAGGCAGGGAGGAAUAAUCGCCCCACCCAAAACCUGGAUCUAAGCUCUGCUCCCUGGUGAGGUGCUGCCUGGUGGUGGCACUUUGAUUCGGUUGCCUCCUGCGCUUCCACAUCACUGGCAUUGCUUGCAAUGGCAUUAAAAGCUGUGAGUUACUCCACUGUGACCUAAUGCCGGGACCUUUUCCCUGCCAUGCUUCUCCUUAUCUCUCCUGCAGCACCUGGGGAUGGCACAGGACUAAUUUGGAGUUUCUUCUUCAUUCUCCUGGUGGGUGAUGGACUUGCCCCUCCUUGGAGAGGUUCUCUCCCUGACUCUGCAUAACCUCAAAACCAGGAUCAUCAUGGAAAUUAUCUACUCUUCUGUCCCGCCUCAGCAUCUUGAAAGAGACCUUGGAAACUGUAUCUCCCACAAGAACGGUAUUUCCAAAUCCACUGCAAAAAAUGGCUUAUUCUGAAUUGAAUACUCUCUCCUCUAUUUAUGGAUGUUCCGUUCUGGAAAUGUAUAGGAGGGAAGGGCAAUUGUGUCAUCCCCAGUUUUGCCUCACAGGAAACAUGGAUGCCCAUAAACUCUUUUCCUCUGAUGAAAAUGAUGUGACCUGGAGACCUCAGCUAUCCACAAGGCUGACCGGUGUUUAAGGUCCUUUGACUUUUGUCCUUGAAAUAGGAAAGGGUGAAAAUGCAGAAAAAACAUUUUACAAUCAUGAAAACCAUCAUAGUUACUUUUUUCUCUGUAAUAUAGAGUGACCGUUGGUACUUAUGGCAUAUCAAUAAUGCAUCUGGCUGGGGAUGCUGCUCUUGGCAGACACUGCGGUGGCCUUCCUCUGAAAGAUAAAUGAGAAGCUCAGCUUGUCUUACCCAACAUGGACAAGCAGACUAGGACACUUUUCCUUAUUUCACAGUAAAUAUAUAAAUUACUGUAUUUGAGUUUGGCCAGAGAAGGUUGCUAUGGAGAAGUUUGGCUUAGAGUAUCUUGGGCUCCAAUCGUAGUCAACCAAAUUAAUGGAAUGUCCCAGUAUGUCUGGUUCUUCCCAUUCCUUUCAAGAUAAUGUACUUCAAGAUUGUCUGCUAAAAUAUGCAGAGGUAUAAUUUCUUUUCCAAAGUAAGCACGUCCCUGGGAGCAUGCUAGGCUUUCAGAAAACCACAGAAACUAACCAUAUUUUGACCACUUUAUUGCAGUUUCUGUCUGUUGACUCUGAUGAGUUUAAAUCAGUUGCCAUUUCCGAGCUAUUAUAAAGGCUGUUGAUGAAAAUCUUCUGUGGCUACAAAGUGCUCACAGAUUUAUUCAAACCUACUGAAACUUCAUUCAUUUCUGCUCGCAAGACAGUUCCCAGACUUUUGCUAUGGAUAUGCAUGCUGUUUAAUGGCACAGGAAUUAGCAUGUCUGCUUGUUGGUACCGACGUGGUAAUGGUGGCAGUUGCUGACACAGGUCAUUAGAUGGAAAUAAAGGAUCUCAACUAAGUUAAUGGUGAAAAACAUCUGAAUUUAGUAGGAGCAGGUCUGAGGAUAUCAAAUGAACCUUUAACAUAUUGAGCUUCAGCAUUCUCAGGUUCUGGGUUGUGACUUGUUGGUGUGGGGAGAAUUUUUUAAAUUCUGUUUUUAUGUAUUUUUGUUUUAGAAAAUUGUCUGCUUUUUGGUGUAUGAGCUGUCUAAAUGACUUUGUGUUUGCUGGUCUCCAUUUAAGAUGUGCUUAUAGCAAGUGAACUGUAAACAGGAUUUGCGUAGUAGAAGGGAAAAUCUACUUAUGAUGACAUCCUUUUUCUGAAGCUCAGGCAGGCCAACUCCGCUCCUUCUGAGAGACACCUUUUUGAAUAAUAGAGAAUUUAAGUAGAGAUAAUACAAAAAUACUUAUUAAACUGCUAAACACUGGGCUGAAUGUCCCAUCUGAAAAUGACAGCUUAUUUUCUAGCUUGAAAAUAGUGUUUCUAUACUCAUUUUCACGUGAGUAGAACAUGACCUCCUUUGGUCAUAAUGAACUGUUUUUGUUUACAAUACAAGGUACUGUGGUAUCGGAGUGGUGCCAUGCAGAUACAUGAUGUGGGAUACAUAACGUGGCUUCGAGAAGAAAGACACUAGGGUGGUUUGUAUGAGGUUUAUUAGCAUUCACAAAGACAACCAGAUUUGUUUUGAUGAUUGUUUUGAUCACAAUUUGCUCUUCCUGAUUUUCCACUGUUCAAAAAUGACUGUGCUUAAGCUAGAGAUGUGCUGCUCUCACCAUUGUUUGCCAGAGUGGGAUUAAUAAUAGAAUAAUGUCAAGCCAGACAAACUUAAACUGACAAAGUAACUUACUUUUUUAAAGAGAGGUGGGCAUAGUGGGUUGCAUGGCUGCACGGCAUCACAAGGUUUGUAAGCCCAAAGGACUUUUUUAUUAUAGUCAGUGGGGGAUGUUCAGAAAAUGAGAAGUUGAAGAGCAAAAAUGUGAUUCUAGCUGAUUCUUGAUCUUGCUGGGGGAGGCUGUGCUUUGAUUUCUUUCAGGAAAGCACAGCGCACACCUAUGGUAUUAUAUAAAACAUUACAUAAUUAUGAGAAUAACACCCUGAAUUCUCUCCCUCCAGCUCUGGCCCAGCCCACCUCUAAUGAAGCAGCAAGUGUGUGGUGACUUUCACUCAGAUCUGCCUUUGUGGCUUGGCUUGCAAGCGUGUGAAUCUAUACUUGUUGCCCUUGGCAUGUAUUUUCUGGUGUUGCUCUUGGUUAUUUUGUGGAGAAAGACUAAUAAUGCUCCAUUAAAACAAGUUCACUAGUCAGGCCAGAUUGUUGUCUUUUCUUUCCUCCCACACUUGCAGCCUUAUUGUAUAUAAUAACACAGUUCAGGGCUUUCCUCUCUCUGCUCCUUGUCACUCCGAGGUAUUUAAAAGAGGAUUUAAACCAGCUAUUUUUUGUGCUUAAUCCUUGAUCCCUUCUGCCCCCCACCCAAGCUUGCUUAUUCUCUGGAAAUAACAACCUAAGUCCACAUUUUACAGCUCUAGUUUAUAGUAAUUUUGUCUUAU